UAGAGUGCUCAAUCUGCUGGCUGAAGCUAGAGAAGCCGCUGUGACAAUGAUUGAAUCCUCAACAGAACUCCUGUCAAAGCAAAUCACGAUGUCAAAUUCUAGCAAGUGGUCUCUUGUAUCCAAGGCAUUCCAGAAGAAAAGAAGUUCAUGUGAAGAGGAGCAAUUGCAGGUGAUCGAGUUGGACAUUGUUGGUCUUGAGAGCAGAGUCGAGAUUUUGUUCAGGAGAUUAAUCCGGAGCAGAGUUUCUCUUCUGAAUGCUCUGAGCUUGUAGACUAGAUCAUAUACCAACUCUGAUCCCCUGUGGUUGGCGUCCGCCUUUUAGAGGAUUUGCUGAUCACCAUAACAAUUUUGCAAUGUAUAUACAUGACAAGAAUUGUAAAAUAUACUCCACUGAGAAACAAAAGCAUAGUUUUUGCCCACUUCCUUGUGUCGACUACAUUGUUUAUUAGUGGUUUGAUACAAAUAAUGAAAUAAUUGCUCAGAAGAUGCUUAUCAUUAUUGACUAUUAUAGAAGUAGUCAGACUGAUUGUUCAAGUUAAUCUUUAAAAUGCUUUAAUAUGAGAUGGCCCUGUUAUUCGGAUGCCAUCUGUUGUACCAGAAAUACGCAAAAGAUCCUAGUGAAAUGGAUCUUGCUACCGUAGCCAAAACAAGCCAGCUCCAACGAACGAGGUCGACCGUAGAUAGCAUGAGGUUAGUAUACAAAGAAGAUGCUGGAAUUAACAAGUGCAGAAAAACUAGGUAACACCUUGUGACCAAUAAGACUCAGUUAGACUCUGCUGUAAUAAUCUCUAGCAUGCAAUUAGGUCAAUAUCCACCUGUAGAGUGAACUAACCUGCCUUGUUGUAGACAAUAGUUUGAACUUCGAACAUGAUAUAUCCCUAAUUCAUUGAGAGGAUAGUUAGCU
rnacentral:lncRNA from 1 species